UACGUACCGUCCAAACGUUACUCGGACUCACUGGGCUUAAAGGGUGCGUAGGCCGCGCGGAGGGUUGGAUGUGAAAUCCCCCGGCUCAACCGGGGAAUAGCGUCCCAAACCGCCGUGCUCGAGGGAGACAGAGGUGAGCGGAACUGAUGGUGGAGCGGUGAAAUGCGUUGAUAUCAUCAGGAACACCAGUGGCGAAGGCGGCUCACUGGGUCUUUCCUAACGCUGAGGCACGAAAGCUAGGGGAGCGAACGGU
rnacentral:rRNA from 1 species